CAGGCAUUUUGGUUGCCCCGUCCUGGAAGUGUCCAGGGCCAUCCUGGAUGGGCUUGGAGCAGCCUGGGAAUGUGGAAGGUGUCCCUGCCCUGGCAGGGCGGUGGAACAAGAUGUUCCUCAAGGUCUCCUUCUGAGGCAAACCAUUCUAUGAUGCUAUGAUUGUAGGAACAUGCUUGUGGAACAGAACAUCCCAGUCCCAUCUGAGCUGAGAUAAAGGAGGAGGAAAGGGGCUGCCUGCCUGCACCACAGAACGGUGCCUGGCCCUACUCUGAGAAUUUAGUCUCAGAAUGUUUUUGCAUGCUUGUCACCCAGGUUUAUCUCAGCCACCAGCUCAGUAAAAUGCAGUGUGCUAGUCUGAUAGAGCACCAGGAGCAAUCAAACGAGCAUGAAAACAGCUGUGUCACAUAUGGCCCCUGAAAUACCACACUGGCUCCUAAUACCAGUGCAGUCUUGGAAAAGUUACUGCCAAAUGUUAAAAAUGCUGCCAUUUCCUCAAGAAUGGUUUAAUAACAGAGGUUUUUGGCUUUGUAAACUAAGCCUUCAUUAUGAUUUCAUUUCUGAUUUAAGAUAAACCAUCUCCCCUCAGUUCCUUAUUCAGAAAUCAAAAAUGCAGGAUGAGAAAAUGAAGGAGAAAUAUAACUCACAAUUUUUGUCCCUUUCCUGCAGCUUCACUGGGGACUUCUUAACCUCCCCAUGCUUUAUAUGAUCACAUAAAAUAACUCUCUGUGUAACAACUCAAAAUGUUACAGGUCUACUGAUGCUCUCGAUUUUUAUGAUUUGGACGUAAAACACAAAUGUAAUUCCUAAAAUGAGCAAAGAACCUAAAUGCCAUGUACAUUUAAAAAGUUACACCCCAAAUUCCAGCUGCAAGCAGCUUUCCAAGGGGCAAAAUUAAAAGCAAUGAAGUCUGCCAACCCUCAAAGGAGGCAAUUUUUAUCACUAUGCCAAAUGGAAUCAUUACUUCACUACUCCAGGCAUCUGGUUAACGGGAGUCUGGUUCUUGCAUCCUCUGGGUUAAGAUAG
rnacentral:lncRNA from 1 species